rnacentral:rRNA from 1 species
AGCAAAGGGCGCCACGUGUGGCGCUUUGCGAGUACCUGAAGAAAAAGCAUCGGCUAACUCCGUGCCAGCAGCCGCGGUAAUACGGAGGAUGCGAGCGUUAUCCGGAUUUAUUGGGUUUAAAGGGUGCGCAGGCGGAAUGUCAAGUCAGCGGUAAAAUUUCGGGGCUCAACCCCGUCGUGCCGUUGAAACUGGCGUUCUUGAGUGAGCGAGAAGUAUGCGGAAUGCGUGGUGUAGCGGUGAAAUGCAUAGAUAUCACGCAGAACUCCGAUUGCGAAGGCAGCAUACCGGCGCUCAACUGACGCUCAUGCACGAAAGCGUGGGUAUCGAACAGGAUUAGAUACCCUGGUAGUCCACGCAGUAAACGAUGAAUACUAACUGUCCGGGCAGAAUGAUGCCUGG